rnacentral:rRNA from 1 species
AUUGAACGCUGGCGGCAGGCUUAACACAUGCAAGUCGAACGAGUGGCGGACGGGUGAGUAAUACAUGGGAAUCUAGCCAAUGGCGGGGGAUAACUACGGGAAACUGUAGCUAAUAACGCGUACCCUUGGAUGAGCCCAAGGGGGAUUAGGUAGUUGGUGGGGUAAAGGCUCACCAAGGCGACGAUCGUUAGAUGGUCUGAGAGGAUGACCAGCCACACGGGGACUGAGACACGGCCCAGACUCCUACGGGAGGAAGCAUGGGUGAAUUUUGGGCAAUGGGGGCAACCUGACGCAGCCAGGCCGCGUGAAUGAAGAAGGCCUUCGGGUUGUAAAGUUCUUUCAGUAGCGAGGCGUUAACUACAGAAGAAGCACCGACUAACUCCGUGCCAGCAGCCGCGGUAAUUC